AUUGAACGCUGGCGGCAGGCCUAACACAUGCAAGUCGAGCGGAGCGGCGGACGGGUGAGUAAUGUCUGGGAAACUGCCUGCUGGAUGGGGAUAACUACGCGAUAGCGUAGCUAAUACCGCCUACUAUUGGAGCGGCCGGUCUCGGAGUAGCUAGUGGGUGGGGUAACGGCUCACACAGGCGACGAUCCGUAGCUGGUUUGAGAGGACGACCAGCCACACUGGAACUGAGACACGGCCCAGACUCCUACGGGAGGCAGCAGUGGGGAAUUUGGGACAAUGGGGGAAACCCUGAUGCAGCCAUGCCGCGUGUGCGAUGAAGGCCUUCGGGUUGUAAAGCACUUUUGGCAGGAAAGCGGUACCUGCAGAAUAAGCACCGGCUAACUACGUGCCAGCAGCCGCGGUAAUUC
rnacentral:rRNA from 1 species